AGAGUUUGAUCAUGGCUCAGAACGAACGCUGGCGGCAGGCCUCAAACAUGCAAGUCUAGGGGGUGUAGCAAUACAUCACCGGCGGACGGGUGCGUAACACGUGGGAAUAUACCUUUUGGUUCGGAACAACGCAGGGAAACUUGCGCUAAUACCGAAUGUGCCCUUACGGGGAAAGAUUUAUCGCCAAAGGAUUAGCCCGCGUCCGAUUAGCUAGUUGGUGAGGUAAUGGCUCACCAAGGCUCCGAUCGGUAGCUGUUCUGAGAGGAAGAUCAGCCACACUGGGACUGAGACACGGCCCAGACUCCUACGGGAGGCAGCAGUUGGGAAUCUUGGACAAUGGGGGAAACCCUGAUCCAGCCAUGCCGCGUGAGUGAUGAAGGCCUUCGGGUUGUAAAACUCUUUCGACGGGGACGAUAAUGACGGUACCCGUAGAAGAAGCUCCGGCUAACUUCGUGCCAGCAGCCGCGGUAAUACGAAGGGGGCUAGCGUUGUUCGGAAUUACUGGGCGUAAAGCGCGCGCAGGCGGUUUUUCAAGUCAGUGGUGAAAGCCCGGAGCUCAACUCCGGAACUGCCAUUGAAACUGUGAAACUUGAGGAUGAGAGAGGUGAGUGGAAUUCCCAGUGUAGAGGUGAGAUUCGUAGAUAUUGGGAAGAACACCGGUGGCGAAGGCGGCUCACUGGCUCAUUUCUGACGCUCAGGCGCGACAGCGUGGGGAUCAAACAGGAUUAGAUACCCUAGUAGUCC
rnacentral:rRNA from 1 species